GUAUUACUCCCUCCGUCCCAAAAUUCUUGUCUUAGAUUUGUCUAGAUACGGAUGUAUCUAACACUAAAAUGUAACUAGAUACAUCCAUAUUUAGACAAAUUUAAGACAAGAAUUUUGGGACGGAGGGAGUAGUUA
rnacentral:pre_miRNA from 1 species